rnacentral:rRNA from 1 species
GAUGAACGCUGGCGGCGUGCCUAAUACAUGCAAGUUGAGCGAACGGACGAGAAGCUUGCUUCUCUGAUGUUAGCGGCGGACGGGUGAGUAACACGUGGAUAAUCUACCUAUAAGACUGGGAUAACUUCGGGAAACCGGAGCUAAUACCGGAGAAUAUUUUGAACCGCAUGGUUCGAAAGUGAGAGACGGUCGUGCUGUCACUUAUCGAUGGAUCCGCGCUGCAUUGGCUAGUUGGUAAGGUACAGGCUUACCAAGGCAACGAUGCAUAGCCGACCUGAGAGGGGGAUCGGCCACCCUGGAACUGAGACACGGUCCGGACUCCUACGGGAGGCCGCAGUAGGGAAUCUUCCGCAAUGGGCGAAAACCUGACGGAGCAACGCCGCGUGAGUGAUGAAGGUCCUCGGAUCGUAAAACUCUCCUAUUAGUGAAGAACCUAUGUGUAAGUAACUGUGCACAGCUUGACGGUACCUAAUCAGAAAGCCACGGCUAACUACGUG